rnacentral:lncRNA from 1 species
UCACACCUGUAAUCCCAGCACUUUGGAAGGCUGAGCUGGGAGGAUUGCUUGAGGCUGGCAGUUCAAGACUUCUUCCAUUUUAAGGGGCCUUGUGAUUACAGCUGGUCCAUCUGGAUAUUCUAAGAUAUUCUCCCUAUUUUAAGGAAGAUGAAUAAGAAGAGGGAGCCUCUUCCAGGAAGAUAAAUGCCGAAAAAGCUACCUUUUCUCCAUCUGGGGACGGAUGAUACCAAAAUGAUGCCCCCUUCCAGGCUGAUAAGGAGAGAAAUCUGAAAUCUGAGGUGCAGUUGAUUUGAAUCCAGGAAAUCUAAGGAAAAAGUUCAAGCUCUUAAUCAUUUCAUACCCUUCUUGUUGCUAACUUAAACUUUUUUUUUAAAAAAGUUAAUCUUGUCUAUGAAGCAUGAAUCUAUAAUACUAGGGAAAAAACUGGCUAACUUGAAGAAAAAAUAAAUUGAAAUGAAAAGCAA